UGGCGGACGGGUGAGUAAUGUCUGGGAAACUGCCUGAGUGGAGGGGAUAACUACUGGAAACGGUAGCUAAUACCGCAUAACGUCGCAAGACCAAAGAGGGGGACCUUCGGGCCUCUUGCCAUCGGAUGUGCCCAGAUGGGAUUAGCUAGUAGGUGGGGUAACGGCUCACCUAGGCGACGAUCCCUAGCUGGUCUGAGAGGAUGACCAGCCACACUGGAACUGAGACACGGUCCAG
rnacentral:rRNA from 1 species